rnacentral:rRNA from 1 species
UUCUUGACGACCAUAGAGCGUUGGAACCACCUGAUCCCAUCCCGAACUCAGUAGUGAAACGACGCAUCGCCGAUGGUAGUGUGGAGCUUCUCCAUGUGAGAGUAGGUCAUCGUCAAGAUU